UACCCUAACAACACACAACAUUCCAGGAAUGUACUACCAAAGUUCUAUCAAUAUUUGAAUGUCCUGGACAUUUAGGGAACAUUCGGUGAACAUCUGUUUAAAUUAUUCCUGGAAUGUUACCAUAAGACAUUCUGUGAACAUACUACCAAUGUUCCUAUAUUUUAAGUUGCGAAAUAAUACAUACGUGUAAGAGAUACAACAUUACUUAUAACAUACCAGACAAACUAAGUGACAUUUUAGGCCUACAGUGCAAUAAUAUGUCAAAUUUAAAGAGUUUCCCAAGAUUAUAAACAUACAAAUGUAAUAAAAAUUAUUGUUCGCGAAUAUUCAAUUUGGAAUGCGAUUUUGUUAAUAAAAAAAAUACUUAUAACUUAUGCAAAACCCAAGAGAGGCAUUUAUAUUUAUUUCUUUUGCGUUCAUUUUCAACUUCGCCGUGCAUAUAUUUUUGUGCAUGGCGCUUGAGAGGGCAUCACGUGACUAAAAACGACCAACCAACGACCUCGCUUCGGCCAUCUUGGCAUCUUCAUCUUGGCGACCUUGCCUUGCCGUGGAUUGUUUUUAGUUGUUUGUAUUAUUUGUGCUUUUUAAGAAUAUUUUUUUAAUUCGGAUACUUUUAUAAUAGCUUUAAUAGUAUUAUUAACAUAGUGCAUAAAAUGGUGUCCUGUUUUUAACGCAGUUGGAGUAGCAGAAACAAAUGUAGAUAAAAAAAUCUGCAGGAAUAACGUUUCAAUUAUGACAGAAGCUCAAAACAAAUGACUGUGAACGAAAAGCCCUAUUAAAAGCUUUCCAGAAGAUCCUGCGAAGAAGACAUGAAGUAUAGAUCAGAUUUGUUAAUAGAGGAGUAUGUUCAAAACACUUUUUAGAAAAAGAUAUUGACAGAACUUCACUUUCAUCUGUUCGUUUGAGAGACUGUGCUGUUCCAAUAGCUUAUGUCACACAGAAUCAGCUGAGAGAAGUGGUCUACAAAAAACCAGAAAGGAAACGGAAUAUGUGGCUACGAAAAGCAAAAGAAAGGUUUACAAAGCAAAUGUGACACAUUUUUUUAUAAUAUUUAGGAAUGUCAGCAAAU
rnacentral:lncRNA from 1 species